rnacentral:lncRNA from 1 species
AGGGACUCCUAGAUGAGUGGGGCAGGGGCUGAGGAAUGCAAAUGAGAUGUCAGUGUGCCCUUCCCUCAGCCCAUUCAAAGUCUGUAGCCCUGGAUUGAAUGAACUGGAGGAGAAGCUUAUUUGCCAGGGGAUGGGAAGCAGAAACCCAGGUGUUUGGUUACCUGGGGCCUGCCUCUCCUUCAGCCUGAGAUAUGGAGAGAGCAGGGCUGGAAGGACUCCCUACCCCCACCUCAGCCUCGCUUCCCGCUCUGCGUCCCUACUUGGCUGUCCUUGCUUCAGUCUGCCCCUGCCCCACCUCCCACCUCCAGCUACUGCCCUACAAGUCAAGGAAUCCACCAAGCAGCCCUAUGGAGAGGCCAAUGUGGAGAGAAACUGAGGCCUUCCACCAAAAGCCAGCACCAACUUGCUAUCCAUGUGAGUGAACCAGCUUGCAGUACAGAGUGGUCAACCCCAGUCAAGCUUUCAGAUAACUACAAGCCUAGUUGACAUCUUGACUACAACUUCAAGAGAGACAUCAAGGCAGAACUGCUUCGCUAAACUGCUCUUGAAUUCUUGACCCACAGAAACUGAGAGAGAGAAUAAAUAUUUAUUGUUGUUUCAAGUAACUACAUCCUGGGG